rnacentral:rRNA from 1 species
UACGUAGGGCGCAAGCGUUGUCCGGAAUUAUUGGGCGUAAAGAGCUCGUAGGCGGUCUGUUACGUCCGCUGUGAAAACCCAGGGCUUAACCCUGGGCUUGCAGUGGAUACGGGCAGACUAGAGGCAGGUAGGGGAGAAUGGAAUUCCCGGUGUAGCGGUGAAAUGCGCAGAUAUCGGGAGGAACACCCGUGGCGAAGGCGGCUCUCUGGGACGGUACUGACGCUGAGACGCGAAAGCGUGGGGAGCGAAUAGG